UACGGAGGGGGCUAGCGUUGUUCGGAAUUACUGGGCGUAAAGCGUGCGCAGGCGGCUUUGCAAGACAGAUGUGAAAUCCCCGGGCUCAACCUGGGAACUGCAUUUGUGACUGCAUGGCUUGAGUGCGGCAGAGGGGGAUGGAAUUCCGCGUGUAGCAGUGAAAUGCGUAGAUAUGCGGAGGAACACCGAUGGCGAAGGCAAUCCCCUGGGCCUGCACUGACGCUCAUGCACGAAAGCGUGGGGAGCAAACAGG
rnacentral:rRNA from 1 species